rnacentral:rRNA from 1 species
GAUGAACGCUGGCGGCGUGCCUAAUACAUGCAAGUCGAGCGAACAGACGAGGAGCUUGCUUCUCUGAUGUUAGCGGCGGACGGGUGAGUAACACGUGGAUAACCUACCUAUAAGACUGGGAUAACUUCGGGAAACCGGAGCUAAUACCGGAUGAUAUUUUGAACCGCAUGGUUCAAUAGUGAAAGACGGUUUUGCUGUCACUUAUAGAUGGAUCCGCGCUGCAUUAGCUAGUUGGUAAGGUAACGGCUUACCAAGGCAACGAUGCGUAGCCGACCUGAGAGGGUGAUCGGCCACACUGGAACUGAGACACGGUCCAGACUCCUACGGGAGGCAGCAGUAGGGAAUCUUCCGCAAUGGGCGAAAGCCUGACGGAGCAACGCCGCGUGAGUGAUGAAGGUCUUCGGAUCGUAAAACUCUGUUAUUAGGGAAGAACAAAUGUGCAAGUAACUAUGCACGUCUUGACGGUACCUAAUCAGAAAGCCACGGCUAACUACGUG